GAUGAACGCUGGCGGCGUGCCUAACACAUGCAAGUCGAGCGAUCUCUUCGGAGAGAGCGGCGGACGGGUGAGUAACGCGUGGGUAACCUGCCCUGUACACACGGAUAACAUACCGAAAGGUAUGCUAAUACGGGAUAAUAUAUAGAAGUCGCAUGACUUUUAUAUCAAAGAUUUUUCGGUACAGGAUGGACCCGCGUCUGAUUAGCUUGUUGGCGGGGUAACGGCCCACCAAGGCGACGAUCAGUAGCCGACCUGAGAGGGUGAUCGGCCACAUUGGAACUGAGACACGGUCCAAACUCCUACGGGAGGCAGCAGUGGGGAAUAUUGCACAAUGGGCGCAAGCCUGAUGCAGCAACGCCGCGUGAGCGAUGAAGGCCUUCGGGUCGUAAAGCUCUGUCCUCAAGGAAGAUAAUGACGGUACUGAGAUGAGCCCCGRAWWWUUUUC
rnacentral:rRNA from 1 species